UACGUAGGGGGCAAGCGUUGUCCGGAAUCAUUGGGCGUAAAGCGCGUGUAGGCGGCUCGGUAAGUCUGCUGUGAAAGUCCAGGGCUCAACCCUGGGAUGCCGGUGGAUACUGUCGAGCUCGAGUCCGGAAGAGGCGAGUGGGAUUCCUGGUGUAGCGGUGAAAUGCGCAGAUAUCAGGAGGAACACCAAUGGCGAAGGCAGCUCGCUGGGACGUGACUGACGCUGAGACGCGAAAGCGUGGGGAGCAAACAGG
rnacentral:rRNA from 1 species